GUGCUACUAUUCAUAUUUUGUAAAUUUUUUUGGAAGUAAACAAGGCCUAAGACAGUCUAAAGAGGAUAAGGACAAGGCAAACCAUUGAGCUCGGGUCAGCGACAGCGACAAAGCUAUGACUAUGAGCAAAGUUGGUGGAAGAUGCGACGAGAGGACACGAUGAAGAGGAGGACGGGGACGGACGGACGGAGUGAAAUUUUCUAUGAGAACAUUAGUAGGGCCGGGUCUAGAUCUAUUUUUUUUUAUUUUGAUAUUGUAUCGUUUGUAUCUAGUUAUUAUUAUUAAUAUAAGCUAACUAGGUUUAAAAGAUUAGUCUCGUAAAUUAUAGAUAAACUGAAUAAUUAGUUUUUUAUCUAUAUAUUGAAUACUCUAUGCAUGUGAUUUUAUAUAAUGGAAAAUCUUAAUUUUUUUUGGAUUUUUUGACCUAUGACACACGAUGUGUGCGAGAGUUGGACGGAGAUGGGAUGAUGUGAACAGCAGAACGAACCGGACGUCCGAGUCUCGGAGAUGAUGAUAAUACAAGACAAAUUUGAUUCUGUGUCUUUUCUUUUCCCAACAACAUGAGCGUGAUCGCUUACCAGAACGAUAUAAAAAUUUUCAAAAUUCCCUCGCAUGGAGCAUUAAAUAUAAACGAUAUAAAAAUAAAUUGCACAGUUUAACUGUAAUUUGUGAGAUGAAUAUUUUGAGCUUAGUUACUCCAUAAUUGAACAAUGUUUGUGAAAUAAAAAUGAAAGUGCUACAGUAGCCAAAAUCUAAAAAUUUUGCGAACUAAACAAGGCUUUUGUUGGAGUUCCUCCCCGAAAACUUUUUGACGUGCUGUUGAAAGCUUAGGCGGAAGGCGGUAACAGUGCUCUCGAGGGAGCAAGUCAAUCAUCGCUGAAAUAUAAGAUAUAUACUCUUAUUAAGAGCGCUAAGAGCAUCUCCAAGAGCUUGGCUAAAAUUAGUAGUUAAAUUCUAAUGUUUAGCCAUUUUGUAAAAUAGAUAACUUGUUAAAAAAGACCAGGUUCACAACAGCCUUGCUAUCAGAUAGCUAGUGUCAGUGGUUGGCGCCAACAAAAAUCAAGGGAUAACAAACUUUCUAUUUUACAAAACCAAAUAGCACAUCUGUUGGAGCCUAUUUUUCUACAAUAAAAGUUCUAAAAAGCCUUCAUAAUAAGAAUAGCAGAGCUGUUGGAGUUGCUCUAAGCUCGGCAGGAGAACGGCCCUAUCCACGUGUCCCUGUACGGCCCGGCGUCUGGUGAGCGCAAAAAAAAACUGGCUAAAAAUCUCAUCUCUUUCAGUCCGACUUUUCCCCAUCGUUUCUCUCGACUCCUCUGCUUCUCGCUCCCGUCGCCCCUUCCUCUCUCGGUCUCUCCCUCUCGCUCCUAGCGCCCCCUCCCUCUCCCUCUCCCUUUUCCUCUCGCAGCUUCCCUCUCCCGGUGCUCGCCGAUGAUUUUGCGCUCGGGUCAGCCAACCUCGGCGUGGGACGCGCGUUGGCCCAGAUGGCCGCGUUAACCCUGGCAGCGGCGGCCCCUAGUGCGGUGGUUUUGAUGGUGGCGGCUCCUGGUGCCAUGGCCAGUACGUUGGCCCUAGUGGUGCUGGUGGCGGCGGCGGCGGCGACGGCACAAACCUACGGUACCCAUCACGUCUGCUCCCUAUUCCCAUGACCGCUAUGGAAACCCUAGCCGUCCUUUCCAUCAAGGUCAGCUCUCAUGCAACCACCAAUCUCGGCUUUGGUUUCAUCUUUUUCAUGUUAUUGAAUGGCUCCUGUGUUUGGGCGAUUAUGUUUUUUUAUACUACCUUAGAUCUACAUCCCUCACCCAUUAACUAUAUACUACCUUAGAUCUGCAUCCCUCACUCAUUACUAUAUUUAUUCUUAUAUUUGUGGAUGUACCAUCUGAUUAUUUUUGUGUUUUAUUUUUUCGGUCUACUAUUUUUUUUCUUAUGGUAUAGGGUUCAGCCAUCAUCAAGAUAUUUCCACAAAAUAAUCCGCACAGAGGAUGCACUAAAGAGCUGACAUGCACUAUAUAUAUUCUUAUAUUUGUGGAUGUACCAUCUUAUUAUUUUUGUGUUUUAUUUUUUCGGUCUACUAAUUUUUUUCAUAUGGUAUAGGGUUCAGCCAUCAUCAAGAUAUUUCCACAAAAUAGUCCGCACAGAGGAUGCACUAAAGAGCUGACAUGCUCCCUUCACCUAUCUUGGUAUUUUGCUUCUUCGAUCACUCUUUGCAUCAUUCGACCUUUUAUUCCAAUUUAGUGGUUGACAAUUUUGUAGACCUUGUUAACGAGAUUUUACGCAUUUUAGAUUUCAUUAACAAUUUAAUGGGUGAAUCAAAACAAGCUGCUUAAUGAUAAGACAAACAAUCCAUAACAUAUAAUAUCUGUCCCGAGAUACAUUGCAUCUCAAAUUUUCACUCUCACUAGGUCUGCUUAAUGAUAUUUCUUCUAUUUAGCUAUGUCCAUUUUCCAAGUUGGAGGUAAAAUGCAUAUUUAAUUUUGGCUCAUUGUGCCUACGAUUCUAGAAGUCAUGGUUCUGUCUACUUAGGAAGGUCCAAUUUUCUCUUAUCCCGCUAAGAUAUAUAUUUUUUCCCUGAUUCGGUAAGCUAAUGUGGAUGUUUGCUUGCACAAAAUGACUUUUAGAUAUAGUGCUACUUAGUUUGCAAAUCCAUCCCAUUAGAUGAUUGAUUCGGUCAUUAUUAUGUAUGCCUUCUAUAAACAAAUUUCUAUGGUGCAAUAUGGUUACGCUAUUUUAUUUACAGAUGGAUUGAUGCCCUAUUUAUAGUAGGGUUUUUAGCUACUUUUAGUAUAUUUGCUAUAGCUGAUUACUUGCUAUGCAUAUCAAUAGUAUACUAUCCUUCAUGGCUAUUGUUUGAGUUUGUGUCUUUUAGGUUACCUAUUUUGAUAGGGUUUAGGGUUUAGGGUUUUAGGGUUUAGGGUUUUAGGGUUUUAGGGUUUAGGGUUUAGGGUUUAGGGUUUAGG
rnacentral:lncRNA from 1 species